AUGAGCACAAACACAAACAUGCUGUAUAAUCAUGUAGUGGCUGCUUGGGUACACAAGCUCUCCCUUCCAGAGCAGCGCGUAUUACAUCCAGCUAUGGGGCAAUUGCAAAGCAAAUUGAGCAACGCUGAAACUAUGCCUGUAUGUUUCAGAAUGCAAUUGGUAGGUGAAGGGAGCUGCAGCCAGCUGCCAAUGUUCCUCAGCAGUGACUUUUCACAGAACUGCUCCAGUAAAACUUUAUUUUUUUUUUUUUUUUUAACCGGUUACAAGAAAAAGCAGAGUGAGACUAAUUUUUUCUCUUGGCAAAAAAAGAAAGAGAGGGUACAUGGAAGUCAUACACCCCCAAGCAAGAGCAAGGCUGGAUGCAGAGACGGGCUCCGUGGACUGAAGGGAGAUGAGUUUGGGAAGAGCCUGGUGAGCCUGCCCCAGGAUCGUGGAGCAUCCAACAGCACCGGAGCCGUGCUCCCAGGUGGACAGAUGGGCUCUGCCUGCUUCCCGUGGCUGAGCUUGCUGCUUCUCAGUGGCCUCGCUCUGCGGCCAGGUAUUGCUGCGCCAACAGGUGACCCUGCUGAAGAGACAAAAGGCUUUUCCUCUAACAAUACACGUGUGACAGUUUAUCGUUGUAAAGAUUGUGACAGCAAAAUUUGCCAAUUAUCCAAUUAUGAGAUCUUUGAUAAAAUUGGAGAAACUAAAAAUGGGACAUUAUCAAAUGACAUAAUUCAGUUGGUGACCACUGAAACUCACAUCAUUAUGUGCUUUCAGCAAGAAAUUAAGUAUCUUAAUGAAGUUUAUGCCAUCUUCUGGCAGGAAGACUGGGGAAUAGGAGAAUCCUGUGGCAACCUGGAGCUUGGAGAAAAUGAGGUGCAUCACAUCACAGAGGAGGAGAAAAUCUGCUGUGCAGUAGAGGCAGAAGAAAUCCAACCACAAGUGGCUAACCUGAACUGCUACGUUGAAAAUAAGAAAAGCUCAAUAUACCAGACCCCCGAUAAUAUAACUCCAGAUAAUCCAACAGAUCCAGACAGCAGCAAGACAAUUGGCAUCACUGCCACUUUCCUGAUUCUUGGGGUUUGUGCAGCAGCACUGGCACUGUACUGUGUUCAAAGAACCCGAAGUGGUCAAGGACGUGUCGUAGUGCUCUAUCAGAUUUUUAAAGUGAAUGGAGAGAGACAGCUGUCUUCAGAAGGUGCUAUAAAACCCAAUCAGGCUUGUGAAAGUGGAAGGUCACAGCCAUUUGAAGCAUCAUCUACAAAUGAGACAAACCAGGCCCUUAUGCCAGCAGCAUCCUCAAACAAAGUCUAGCCAUCACCUGAAGAAACACGUUUAUUUUAUACCUCACAAUAGUUCUCACAAACGUACUUUCACAAUUCCCAUGCAUUCACUGAGGACUGCAAUUGCCCUAGUUAUCCAACUCCAGACUUUUGCAAGCAAUAAGAAAAGCUUCCAGGGGCUCUUGUCCUCUCCCGGUACUUGUCUGAGAAGCCCCAGCAUCACAAGAUGAAUGGCUUGUUUGGCAGCACAGACUUAUACCAACUGAAUCCUCCCUUUUUUUUUUAUGGUUGAAACUAUCGGUUCUCCUAAAAUUCUUUGGAGAAUUGCAUCUUUGCUCAGGCAGGCCGUGUUGAACCUUAAUGGAGAUGUUUUCUGCAUAUCUUCCAUGUCAUAACACAGUAGCGUGGCCAUAGUUUUUCAUCUGUUAAGUCCCAGGCUAGUUCUAGGUUUCCCUGAGAAGGAGUUUUGUAGAGCCAUGUGUAGGAAGGGACCUUAAAGACCACCCACUAGCUCAGGCUGUCCAGAGCCUCAUCCAGCCCGUACAGGUGACUGGUUUGUUUUUAGAGUGGUUUGGCCUUCUGAGCCAAAAGUCUGGUUUUGCAGCCACCUGCAGGUUGAAGGCUACUCUGCAGGCUCUGUCCUGUGCAGCAGAGACAGAAAGGCGUGCACUUCAGGGGUGCACAAACGGUAGUUCACAGGUAGCAUGUCAUCUUCAAGUGAUUUACUGCUCAUGCUUGAUUUGAGUAAAUCUUCAACAUUUGCGUUAUACCCAAACAAAUAUCAGGCUUUUGAGCAAAGAGCACCAGCAUCCAGAUUGCAAAAGCACAUCCCUGAAGUGGAAUGGAUGCUUGUUGAAUUAUUUUUUUGUAUAGUUUAACCAAUCAUAAACCUUUAAAUUGGUAGUUUCAUCAGGAAAUCUCAAAGGAUUUAGGAUGUAACAUGACUCUAUAUAGAUUUAAAAACAAUAGCAAAAAAAAAUAAUAAUACAAAAAGGUAUAUUAAAAAGUUAUGGACAUUUUCUUUUUCCCUUGACCUCAAAACUUUGGAAGGUCCUUCAAAUGCAAGUAGGAAAUUUCUGUGGUGUUUUGCAACAGUAUGAUGAGUUCAAUGUUUGUUUUACCAAGGCAGCUAUCAUGGGUGUUGCUUUUGGUUUUGUUUUUCUGCUGUAAGUCAUUUCUGCGAGAGCCUCUCAGGAAGUGCCGAGCAUUCCCAUUGAUGCAUGGAGCUGCGUGCUGGGCUUCAGGAGAUUCCAGUGAUGCAUAUCUGAUUUUCCUGGACCUAGAAAAAGACUGUCUUAAAAUUAAAGGCUGUUGCAGUUCUCUGAAGUGGUCUCUUAAUGGGGAAAAACAAAUGUGUGUAUACAUAUUAGUGUGUGCAUGUUAGGGCAGUCAAACUGAUGACUGACACUGCUCUUUUUUUGUGUACCCUCAGAUUUUGAGUUUUUUGAAACAGAGAUAACAUGCUAUUUGACAACUUAUGUUGUAGUAACUCAAGAGAUUCAAAUUUAAGAGUGUUCAAAUUUAAUUUCUAAUCUUUAACACCAGUUGGGGCCAGAGAGCUAGUCAAGCCUUGGGAAUAGAGGUUACCUGCCCAGUUCUGCCCAGUGACAGUUGCUCAGCUAAAUCUGUCACAAGAUGCAAUUCACAAACUGACUUUGGGGUGCACACACUUUCCUUCCCAUCUUUUCUGCCUUCCUACUGCUGAUUUUGCAGACAGUGAUAUUCAGAGGUGUCAGUCCCAGCUGUUCUGAUUUGUGCCUCCUGAGCUGCAUUUUGCCUGUAAUGCCAAUCAUCCGAUGUCUUGGGAAAAGGGCUUUAAUGAUCCUCUUGGCUCUCAGCAAGUGCCUGAUGUUGCUUUAUGUGUCUUUUUACAAAUAAAUAUAUCCACACAAAUAGUUCUGAAAUAAAAAUCAACUGAAAAUAUCAGGUAGCCUGACUCGACAGAUGGCAUAAUUUGAUAGUUGCAGUUUCAUUUUGAUGUACUUUGUUUUGUGUUCUUGUAGUCACCACAAUGCCAUGCCAACUUGAACACUGGCUAUUCACUGGUAACUCUGCAUCGGUCAUUUUGUUCUUUGGCUUCUUCAUGUCCUUUACAAAACAUCACCAUCAUGUGAGCCCCACACUCAUUACCCAGCAUUAUUGGGAUGAUCCACUUCUUGAGUAUUGCAAAAUCAAAGCCCAGGAGCAGGAAAUCCCUCCUGCCAUCUGCUUUUGUAUCUAGCAGUGAGUCUUCAUAGGGCUAAUUGAAAGCCCAUUUCACAACCCACCUGAACUCAGUUUUCUUUACAAGGUCUGAUGACCCUUAUCAGCUGUCAGGCAAUCAUUCCUUCAAGAAAAGCUGUUUGUUGUAUCAGGGAGAGAGUAGGGUGUGAGCUAUGACUGAGCUUCCCUUUUGUUGCUGGCUUGCAGCUACAGAACAUCUCUAAGCGUGAAGCCACGGGAGAGGUACACACUGUACUGCUGCUCUGAAAACACACACCAUCCCAUUGCUGGGAGAACACAGGCUCGUCACUGGCAAAAUACAGGUCAAGCCUGCAAGUUUGUGAGCAGGCUUUGUAUAUUAAUUUAAGGUUUAGCUGAAGUAGCAGUGUAUCUUUCUCCCUCUUGCCCCUUACAAAGCCAACGCUUUCAAUUGCAGCCUGCAGCAGGGCUGGCUGCUGAGCCUGGGGGCAUUGACAGUCUGUAUCGACUGCAGCUAGUGCUGAUGUUUCCACUAACAGCCCCCACAUCUGGGGCUUGUUCUGUGGUAGUAAAGUGUGGGCGUUGCCAGUGUGAAGUCAACAACAGAAUACACCUCUCUCUAAAUCUCUCGCUCCCCUCUCUGUCACAGUGUCUGUGAUGUGAAGACAGAAGAAGCAAGUUGCUGGGGAGGGGGAGAGAACUUCAGUUAGAAAGCAGCUGACAUAGCUAGAAGAUAACAGCCAGGUUUUGGCACACAAACCUGUCUUCAGCUCAUCAGUUGGGUUAUUGAGAUCAGCUAAAAAGACCUUGGAAAAUGCCGCAGACAUCACCUCUCCCAGUUGCAUCUCUCUUUCUUCUGCUUCUCCGGUUCAUCCCUGGCCUGAGUG
rnacentral:lncRNA from 1 species